rnacentral:rRNA from 1 species
AGAGUUUGAUCCUGGCUCAGAUUGAACGCUGGCGGCAUGCUUUACACAUGCAAGUCGAACGGCAGCACGGGGCAACCUGGUGGCGAGUGGCGAACGGGUGAGUAAUAUAUCGGAACGUACCCAGAAGUGGGGGAUAACGUAGCGAAAGUUACGCUAAUACCGCAUACGAUCUACGGAUGAAAGUGGGGGACCUUCGGGCCUCAUGCUUUUGGAGCGGCCGAUAUCUGAUUAGCUAGUUGGUGAGGUAAAGGCUCACCAAGGCGACGAUCAGUAGCUGGUCUGAGAGGACGACCAGCCACACUGGGACUGAGACACGGCCCAGACUCCUACGGGAGGCAGCAGUGGGGAAUUUUGGACAAUGGGCGCAAGCCUGAUCCAGCAAUGCCGCGUGAGUGAAGAAGGCCUUCGGGUUGUAAAGCUCUUUUGUCAGGGAAGAAACGGCCUGGGUUAAUACCUUGGGCUAAUGACGGUACCUGAAGAAUAAGCACCGGCUAACUACGUG